rnacentral:rRNA from 1 species
CAGCCGCCACGGUAAUACGAAGGGUGCAAGCGUUACUCGGAAUUACUGGGCGUAAAGCGUGUGUAGGUGGUUGUUUAAGUCUGUCGUGAAAGCCCUGGGCUCAACCUGGGAAUUGCGAUGGAUACUGGGCGACUAGAGUGCGGUAGAGGAUAGUGGAAUUUCCGGUGUAGCAGUGAAAUGCGUAGAGAUCGGAAGGAACACCUGUGGCGAAGGCGACUAUCUGGGCCAGCACUGACACUGAGACACGAAAGCGUGGGGAGCAAACAGGAUUAGAUACCACAGUAGUCCCUGUCUCUUAUAC